rnacentral:lncRNA from 1 species
GUCGGAUAAAUUUAGAGGAAAAAAACAUGUAAAAGAUACAACGAUGGACCACAACGACGAAAGACAAGUGACGGCUAAUAAUCCAUGCGCAUAACAAGUUGCCAUUUUGUUGUCUUUUCUACUUAUAACAAACCUAUUUUUUAUUCGUAUUAAAUACAUCAUAGUUAUUUAUUGAACUUAAGGGUUUUUGUCCCUUGAUCAAAUUAAAGUUGUUCUUUAGUCUUUCGGAGUUUCUGUGGAAACUAUUUACUUCUUGUCUAGGUCAAAGAGAUCAAGAAAUACUUUAACGAGCAAUGCACGGGGAAGCUUUUUUCAUCACAGUAAAAUAAACACUUGUCUUCCUUACGUUAACAUGUGGUGUAGUUCAAUUGCUGUUUGUCAACGUUAAAUCAAGUUGUUCUUUAGUCUUCCGGAGUUUCUAGAUCAACUAGAUUGAGAUAUACUUUAACGAACAGGGAAGCUUAUUGAUCACAGUAAAAUAAACACUUGAUACACUAGUCUUCCUUUAGUUAACGUAUGGUGUAGUUCAAUUGCUGUUUGUCAACGUUAAUUCUAGUUUCCUAUAAUAAUC